AAAAAAAGAGAGGAAGAGGAAGAUAUAAGGAUAAAGGCAAUGAUUAUCAUCAAUCAGCAACCGAGAGAAGAGAGGAAGAUGAAAAGAAGAAAAAUGAGGAGGAGAAGUCGAUGUUGUGCACGACGAUGUGCAGGAGGAGGAGAAGAUCUGCCGACACGUGUUUUGCAAUUUCGCUGCUCCCUCCAGCGCGAUUCCACCAUAUAUGUGCCGGAUCUGAGGGUGCGAAGUGCUCUAUGGUGAAUUUAGGCCAAUUCGCAGCGAUGAACGGUGGCAAGGCACGACGGUCCAGUGGCGGCACGUGGUGGUCGGGUGGUGGCACGUGCGGAGGUGCGCGGACUUCCGAUGGUUGCACACAAUGAGUCCUAGGAACCCGG
rnacentral:lncRNA from 1 species